GACGAAGGAUGCAAGCGUUAUCCGGAUUCAUUGGGUUUAAAGGGUGCGUAGGCGGGCCUGUAAGUCAGUGGUGAAAGCCCUUCGCUUAACGAAGGAAUGGCCAUUGAUACUGCAGGUCUUGAGUACAGUUGAGGUGGGCGGAAUGUGUCAUGUAGCGGUGAAAUGCUUAGAUAUGACACAGAACACCGAUUGCGAAGGCAGCUCGCUAAACUGUAACUGACGCUGAGGCACGAAAGCGUGGGUAGCAAACAGG
rnacentral:rRNA from 1 species